CAGUUAAAUGCUGUAAUAUUAGUCAUUUUUCGUAGAUUGUUGCUGUCGGACCUUGUAUCUAACUAUACCACUACUUUUCAGGAAAUCAGAGUUCCCAAACACAGCUUUGUUAAAGUUGAUAUACCUUAUAUACUGCUGCCAUAUACCGUUGCACACUCACAUCAACACAGCAUCACCCAAAAAUUAUGUUCGAUCGCUAAUUAAAUAUGUUAAAAAAAAGUUACUACGCAGUCAUUGAUUAAAAUAUUAGAAUGUCGCCAGGCACCAGAACCUCCUCAUCACAAUCUGUGCUCACGCCAAGCCCCAACCAUACAAAAAAAAAAAAAACUUCAAACUUCACAUACAUUUUGAGCACUCAAGAGCAUCAAUAGAUUUGUUCUAAAGCUAUUUUCACCACUUUAAAUUGGCUAAUAUUUUGAAGGAAAAAAAACAAAGUGGGGACAGACCAACUGUAUCGAUUUGUGAUUUUUUUUUAAAGUGACCUUUAAACAGCUUGAUGCCCCUUUUUUAAUGAAUUGUACAAUGUUUCCCAAACUGCUGCUUAUUGUGAAGUGUGUAGAAUAGAGUACACUGCCACCAUACAGCACUCGUGUCUCCAGUUUGCGCUUGCAAAUCAAAACCAAAAAAAAAUGGUAAAUCGGGUCUUCUAUCUCAAGGAACCACUGUAUUGAAUUGAAUUUCAUGUUCUGCCUACAUUCAUCACUUCUUUCUCUAAGCUGUAGUGGGGCUCUAGGUUGAUUAUAAAGGUGGGUUUCAGUAUCAUGUAAGAGUUGGCUUUCAGCAGCGUGCGCGUGUCUUUGUGUACAUGUGUGUGUGUUCUUACACAAGCCUUUUCCUCAUGACAGUUGAGCUCUCGGAGGACGUGCUCAGCAUGGGCAGGAUUUACGCUGACCUCUGAGAAACCACGUAACCGUUCUGACGUUGCAUCAAGUUGGGAGCGUACCUGUGAGCACAACAACAACAAAGCAUGGUUUUAGAGAAAAUGUUCUUGCCAAGCCUGGGCGUGAAUUUCCUCAACUAACUUCACGGAAGUGUUGCUCAAAAUGGCGAAGCUGCAAACACUGCUCCAGUUUGGAGCGGUGGCGUUCCCAGAAAUCGUCAAAUGCUGUCUCGGUCUCGUCCAGCUGACCCAGAAGUCUGAGGAGAAUGAGAGUGCAGCAGACUGGUAGUGGCCUCAGCAUCGUUGGGCAAUUCUGUCUCUGCAAGCUCUGUGCCAAAGGCCUGCAGAGUGUGAGCAGUCGUCUUCACCAUGAGAGCAAACGCUUCAAUUGCCUGCAUUGGAAAAGACUGUCUCACUUCAUGGGAAAAGUGGCCACAAACCUGUUUUGCUCCAAGGUAGGUGUCUAACCUAAAACGGACUUCACUACAAUUUACUGCAUGUUAUGAAUGAUUAGAAAUAAUUAUUAGACAACUAAGUCACAUUCAGCACCUAAUGUAGCGUGGCUAGUAAUGUCGCUUCUUAGUAUACUGUUACGUUCGCUUUCCAUAUAGUUAAGCUGUAACCUAUAAUCACUCAUGUAAUGCAGUAGUUCAUGGUCGUAUGGCUGUUAGCUUAGUGUUUAAAUAGCCAUCCAUCCAUUUUCUACACCACUUAUCCUCACCUAGCGUUGUGGGUAUGCUGGAGCCUAUCCCAGCAAACUGCGGGCGAGAGGUUGCCAGCCAAUUGCAGGGUACAUACUGUAUAAAGAACCAUUCACACUCAUAUUCACACCUACGGGCAAAUUUAGAGUCUUCAAUUAACCUACCAUACAUUUUUGGGGGAUGUGGGAGGAAACCGGAGUACCUGGAGAAAACGGGGAGACGGUGAGGAGAACAUGCAAACUCCACACGGGAGGCCGGAUUUGAACAAAGGUCCUCAGAAAUGUGAGGCAGGUGUGCUAACCAGUCCAUUGUGUCGCCAGUCGAAACUAUUGAAAUUUACAGAUCUUGUUGAACUACAGACAGUACAAAUAAUAUUUAAAGCUAAAAAACCAAAACUUUGCCUGGAAAUAUAUAUAUUUUUUUAAAAUCACUGAAAGGGAAGGAAGUUACAAUUUAAGAAGAGACCUCAGACCGGGUCCUCAGAACUGUGAGGCUGAUGUGCUAACCAGUCAUCCGCCGUGUUUAAAUAUCCUCAUCCAAAAUCUGGUGCAUUUAUAACGUUGACCAGUCCUUGUGUGUUUACUAAACCUGAUUUUGGGUGUUUAAAUAAUCCAAAAUCAGGUGUAUUAAACACACGAGGCCUGGUCAACCUUAUACGUAAAUAACCAGACGCCUUUUCCUCCACAGGGACACGACAAGAGAACCGUGUUCUACAAUAGCACACAAAACUCCAGAAAUACAAGCCCAGUGCCAAAAUGACAACCGUCACAAAAUGCAAUUAUAAAGUUCCUUUGAGAGGAGCAUGAACAAAAACGACAUGAGACUGAAGCAAAACAUGUUUUUACAGCUUUCCAGUUAAAAUGUAGCUACUGUAUUUAAAUUUGUUGUUCUUAACGUUAUAUUGUUAUUUCUAUUUCAUAUGUACUGUAUGUAUGUUCAUUUGUUUGAUGCAUUCCCUAUUUAUAUAUUAUAUUUUCCAAAUAAAAAUAUAUGCAAGGCCUAAAAAUAAAUAAACUAUUAUUACCAUUAUAUCAUUAUAUGGAAAUUCUCCCAAAUGCCAAUAACUGUAUGUUCUGUAAAUAAGUGUCUAAAUAAGUCUUUUUGAUAAUUGCAUCCUUCUGUUUUGCCUCAGCGCUGCAAAAUAUGAGAUUCAUAACUGAUAAUUUUUUUCCUGGGACAGUGACAAUAAAGUGCUUUUCUAUUCUGUUUGA